CCUACGGGGGGCAGCAGUGGGGAAUAUUGGGCAAUGGGCGCAAGCCUGACCCAGCAACGCCGCGUGAAGGAAGACGGCCUUCGGGUUGUAAACUUCUUUUGUCAGGGACGAAAAAAGUGACGGUACCUGACGAAUAAGCCACGGCUAACUACGUGCCAGCAGCCGCGGUAAUACGUAGGUGGCAAGCGUUAUCCGGAUUUAAUGGGUGUCAAGGGCGUGUAGGCGGGAGAGAAAGUCAGACGUGAAAUUCCAGGGCUCAACCCUGGAACGGCGUUGAAACCGGUUGUUCUUGGGGGAUGGGGAGGAAGGCGGAAGUCCGGGGGUGGCGUGGAA
rnacentral:rRNA from 1 species